GCUCUGCUUUUCUUUUGUUCCAUGUUAUUUGACAGCUCAAUACUCAGCCCGAUUAGUGAAAGUCUUUCACUAUUGUCAGUGCAGACAUAAGCAAGAACGAACACUAACUUCGCUCAACUAUUUCGCGCGACCAAAACGUCGCUGGUCGCUGGCGACCUUUUCAUGUUAGUGCUUGAGCGAAACAGGCUAUUUCAAUGCGUCGCUGGAGCACUAAACUGCAGAGCACUCAACACGGUUGUUUGUGAAUACCCUUUAAUGGGUGAAAAAAUACCCAUUGUCGAAUAGCGAUCAGAUCUGUCAGAAAAUGGGGGAAUCCUGCUUUUUACGAGCGCUAAUGGCCGCCACAAUCAGGCUCGCUUUCUGGUAGGGAUCAAACGAUCUGACAUUUGGGUAGGGUCGUUUGACAGCUAUCGAUAAGUUUUUGAUCGAUCUUAUCGAUUUGCUAUCAAACGACCCAAGCCAAAUGUCAGAUCGCCUAGUCCCUACUAGAAAGUAAGCUUCUUUGUGGCGGCCAUUAGCGCUCGUAAAAAGCUGGAUUUAAAAUCUCGAGAGGGGUAAAAAUUUACCCAUUUUAAAAAUACAAUAGCGUUCCCAUUAAUGGGUGAAAAAUAGUUAUGAUUAAUCAACUCGUCAAUCCGCAUGUGUGUAUUUAUAAUUGAAAAGAUUUAAACUAUUCUGUUUUUCCCACAGGAGACUUAAUUUGAAAGGCUGCACCAAGAUUUGUUCCGAGAGUUGCCCAGCGGAUAUGAAUGUAUUUCAAAAAAUUGCUGAAUUAGACUUAUAUUUUAGAAUAAAUUGCAUAGAAACAUUGUU